UUGAAUGGCUCCUCAAGAGGGUCCUUCUUCAUGGUUGGAGUGAUAUCUUGAUUUUUUGUGCAUGUGCUCAGCUAAUGUGUCCGAACACGUGUACGCGUCUUCUUUAGUUACGUUAUGAAGCCAUCCCACGACAUCCAGGGUGGUAUCAGUGGAGGAGUCCGCUUGUCCCACCAUACACAGCUUAACAUCUCGUCGCGUUACUGCUCUUUGUCACUGAUCACCAGGAUGCUUUGCUCGCUGACUUGCGCAUGGAAGCAAGACGCAUGGCAACUUAAUUGGCCCCCCACCACCCAACCCAGCCCAGCCCACGUCUCGCGCCCCCGGGAGUCGUUUUCGGCCCGCCAGACCCACGCGCGUUCCUGGCGCCCGCGGUGGCAUCCGUCCCCCCGCGCGCGUUACCGCCGCCUACCGCCAGGGAGCGCUCUGCCGCCGGCGGCACCAACCCUGGCCAGGGGGCAGGCGCGGCGCCAGUGAGGGCCGAUUUGUUUUUGAGCGACCGGGUGAGACAUCGCGAGAGCCGAGGAUGGUGACUGGUCUGGGUUAAUGCAAUGUCAAAAGUGAUUGUUACGGAACAAAGCGGCACCGUGAAGCAAAUUGAUAUCAGGGGAAAAAAAUCAACCGUGGUUCGAAACAAUUUGAUAUUUAACUUUGAUUUCAUAUCGAUUUAUGUUGGUGUAAUUCUUUCGAUUUCCCAUGCAAUGCAGUGUUUUUUUCUGAUUUCUAUUUACUUCAUUGCUGUUCCUUGCCUCGUUUGCUUUACUUUUGUCAGUGGUGACCGAGAUCGCUCUUGCAAAUGAGCCUCAUCAUCCUGGUCUCUGCAGCGCUCACAUGCGUUUCACAAAACCAACUUGAACUACAUUCACACUUCCACAACCUCGACUCUGUCCGCUGGUGGUCAUCCUACGGCCGUGUACAGAAGUGGUCUAAGAACGGCGAUGUCAUCUUGCUUUGCAAUCAUGAUGGGAUUCCUGUCGUGUGUUGCUGUUUGAACACACCAAUUGCUGGUAUAUUAUGAAUGCAUGUUGAAGGUUCGCACCGUACUAGCCAUCCCUGCUAACCGGAGUUGCGGGGAAAGGACAACAUCCUAAACACAAAACGCAGUUAAAAAAAAUGAGUGUUCAAUAUAUAUGAUUUAAAAGUGCGUAGCUCCAGUGGCUUCCUAAUAUCAUAAGGAAGCGCGUUCCAGACGGCCACAGAAGCGCAUCCGAAACCGCGCGAUAACCAUCCAGAAAGCCUCUCGGCAUUGUUUGAGUCUCCUCGGUUGACGCGUGCUUCUGGUACAGCCCCGGCUCCACACUUGACGAGCACAGACCCCAGCACCGUCCCGCGAUAUUGUCGGCCACACGGCCUUCUGAGAAGGCGUGAUGAGUGCAGCAUUGGUUCAACACGAAGAAAAACUCUGCUACUGGUUUCAGUAUUCGGUGCCUGAAUGUAGAAGGCGAGUAGCAGCAGCAGUACGGUUAUAUAGGCUGUUCUAUUCUGUUACAUUGUUUUCAAGUAAACCAUCCAUCUAUA